GAUGAACGCUGGCGGCGUGCCUAAUACAUGCAAGUCGAGCGAAUGGAUUAAGAGCUUGCUCUUAUGAAGUUAGCGGCGGACGGGUGAGUAACACGUGGGUAACCUGCCCAUAAGACUGGGAUAACUCCGGGAAACCGGGGCUAACACCGGAUAACAUUUUGAACCGCAUGGUUCGAAAUUGAAAGGCGGCUUCGGCUGUCACUUAUGGAUGGACCCGCGUCGCAGUCGCUAGUUGGUGAGGUAACGGCUAACCAAGGCAACGAUGCGUAGCCGACCUGAGAGGGUGAUCGGCCACACUGGGACUGAGACACGGCCCAGACUCCUACGGGAGGCAGCAGUAGGGAAUCUUCCGCAAUGGACGAAAGUCUGACGGAGCAACGCCGCGUGAGUGAUGAAGGCUUUCGGGUCGUAAAACUCUGUUGUUAGGGAAGAACAAGUGCUAGUUGAAUAAGCUGACACCUUGACGGUACCUAACCAGAAAGCCACGGCUAACUACGUGCCAGCAGCCGCGGUAA
rnacentral:rRNA from 1 species